GAUGAACGCUGGCGGCGUGCCUAAUACAUGCAAGUCGAGCGAACAGAUAAGGAGCUUGCUCCUUUGACGUUAGCGGCGGACGGGUGAGUAACGCGUGGGUAACCUACCUAUAAGACUGGGAUAACUUCGGGAAACCGGAGCUAAUACCGGAUAACAUUUGGAACCGCAUGGUUCUAAAGUGAAAGAUGGUUUUGCUAUCACUUAUAGAUGGACCCGCGCCGUAUUAGCUAGUUGGUAAGGUAACGGCUUACCAAGGCGACGAUACGUAGCCGACCUGAGAGGGUGAUCGGCCACACUGGAACUGAGACACGGUCCAGACUCCUACGGGAGGCAGCAGUAGGGAAUCUUCCGCAAUGGGCGAAAGCCUGACGGAGCAACGCCGCGUGAGUGAUGAAGGGUUUCGGCUCGUAAAACUCUGUUAUUAGGGAAGAACAAAUGUGUAAGUAACUGUGCACGUCUUGACGGUACCUAAUCAGAAAGCCACGGCUAACUACGUG
rnacentral:rRNA from 1 species